AGCAGCCGCGGUAAUUCCAGCUCCAAUAGCGUAUAUUAAAGUUGUUGCAGUUAAAAGCUCGUAGUUGAAUUUCGGGGUUAGUAGGUUGGUCAUGCCUCCGGUAUGUACUGGUCUCACUGAUUCCUCCUUCCUGAUGAACCGUAAUGCCAUUAAUUUGGUGUUGCGGGGAAUUUUGACUGUUACUUUGAAAAAAUUAGAGUGUUUAAAGCAAGCUAACGCUUGAAUACAUUAGCAUGGAAUAAUGAAAUAGGACGUUCGAUCCUAUUUUGUUGGUUUCUAGGAUUGACGUAAUGAUUAAUAGGGAUAGUUGGGGGCAUUAGUAUUCAAUUGUCAGAGGUGAAAUUCUUGGAUUUAUUGAAGACUAACUACUGCGAAAGCAUUUGCCAAGGAUGUUUCCAUUAAUCAAGAACGAAGGUUAGGGGAUCGAAGACGAUCAGAUACCGUCGUAGUCUUAACCAUAAACUAUGCCGACUAGGGAUCGGAUGAUGUUAAUUUUUUUAAUGACUCAUUCGGCGCCUUA
rnacentral:rRNA from 1 species